rnacentral:lncRNA from 1 species
CACCAUAUGUGAAACAGCCACCGAGUCGUGUUUUCGACUCUCUGAUUUCUCUCUACCGAGUCGUGUUUCGACUCUCUUAUUUGUUUCUCUGCCAAGUCAUAUUUCAAGUCUUUGAUCUGUCUCUCUGUCGAGUCUUGUUUCGACUCUAUGAUAUAUUUUGGAUUUUACUAUUCUCAACUCCAAAUAUUGAUAUACAUCAUUAUGGAUAUAUAUCAGUUUCUGUACGGACACAUAUCUGUAUGGGUGUAUGGGUAUAUAUCUCCUAAUAAGAUUAGGUGUCUAGCAUCUCUUGAUUACGAUAGUAUUAAUUAGUAAUUCUCAAUGACUGUUGGUAUCUAUCAAAAAUUGUUACUAACCAUAUAUUUAUACGGGG